GUACCCCCGGAAACACGUCCUGUGGGACGGUGAGUUCCGCAACGCCUGCGCUCACCAGGAGUAGGAGUCAUUACGUGAGCCCUUCGCGGCCCCAGCGUCGCCAGGAGAGCUUCCAGCCUCUCUAGAAUCACUACUGCGCACUUCCUGGACAGCAGUCUCCGUCGCAAGAAGCGGAGGGAAAAAAAAAAGCAACAAGCAGGGAUAGAACCAGCGUUGGCCGCCGCGCACGUCGGGAGUUGUAGUUCUGGCUAGGCCGUGCGUCCUGCACCGAUCUCCGGGCCCGCCGCGGCGCCCGCUGGCCUGGGGUUCCGGCUUACAGCGCGGGAAUUCGGGAACCCAGCGCGGGCUGCAGAGGCCCCAGCAGGAGCCCCGCCUCCCGGCUCGUCGACGGAUUCGUUCUUGGCCCUGCCAAUCUGAUUCUCAGCUCCCAGAACUUCACGAUUUAGAAUGUAGACUUUUGCUUUGUGACAGUUCUCCCCAUCCCCGACUACUAAAUGACGAACCCUCUUUAACUGUGAAAUGUACCUGCAAAGUCAAGCAGUGUCUUUGGAUACCCAAGUUCAGAUAUGAACAAGCAAGCUACAAAAGCGGGGUGGGCGGGUAUGAGUGAGCAGAAGAGAGAAACCGGGCUGCAAAAAAGGAAAAUAAAGGCGGGACGUGGGGGUAUGAUUUGCUGAAUGGUACCAAAGUUGAUUUUUUGCACCGUGCACAGUGAUCGAGCUGAGCAAAUUAUUUUUUUUUUAAUUAUAAGCAGCGAGUGCCUUGCUGCCUCCUCAUGUGUGUCAAUAGGAGAGUGAUGAUAUUUGAGUUGGAUCUUAAAGAGCAGAAUUUCCUCAAAAUGUAGAGGAGGAGAAGAUUGUGGUCCAGACUUCCAUCUUCCCAUAUAAUGACUCCAGAAGAAAAAGAAAGCUUCUCUCUGAGCAUCCAGAUAUAAAAUCUAUGAUAAGAACCCUAAUCAGGAUUACCAGUAGGAGAUUACCUGAUCCUAGGUUAUUUGUUCACACUCUCUGAACAGCAGGGCAGGAUAUUAUAAUUAUUAAAAUUAGAGUUACAGAAAGUGGGGCAGAAGACUUCCACUUAAAAAGGUAUGUUAUUCACAGAAAAUGAGGGAAAAGAAUCUUGCACAGAGGGAAGAAAAAAAAUGAUAUCUCUAUACUCACUAAGCCUCAGCUUCCACAAGUAAAAAUUAAGAUUAAUAAUAAUACCUACUAAUAGGACUGCCUGGGGGCCAAAGAAGAUGAUUUAGAGAAAGGAUUUGUUCCAAGACCUCCCAUAAUAAGUAGUUACUACAAAUAAUAGCUCUGUUUUAACACCUGUCAAACUUGGAGGUACCUCCCUUUCCAGGAAUCGAAUGCAAUGUCAAACCAUGUUCAAGUACUGUCUGUGAGUGUAACUGCAAGGUAGACGCUGCCUUCAUCAAAGGGAUCUUAUGCCCCAGAAACAACUUUGCUACGUAAGUGAUGGAGGCUUGCAGAGUGGAGGUGCCCACAACCUUACUGCAUUUAUUUGUGCAGCCAUAUCGAAAACAUUUCCAGCAACAGAAAAAGGGGGAAGGAAGCACUCUGAUACUUUUUUUCUUAUUCUUCGGAGGGGACACAUUAUUGGCCCAAGAGGGAAAUCCUUUUACAACCUACUUUUACAUUAACUGGGAUCAUAAUUUAUUUAUGAAAACAUCAUAUAAAAAGAGCAAGCAAGCAGGAUUCCUAAACAAAGGGGGCUCAAACCAAUAUAUGUGUAGAAGUUAUUCAUUGUCCCCAGGGCAGGCAUACGUUUUCGUGUGUCUUUCAGGAAAGUCACUGGCACCCCAGCCUUCCUUCUUUCAGAAUAAAGGUCAUGAUUUAUUAAUAAUUCUGAUCUCUAGGAAGGAAAAAUGACCCCAGGUUUCAUCCCUCACUUACGAAUUUUCCUAAUCAUGCCCCAUAACUUUGUCCUAUGAAUUCACAUAUUUAAUUUUGAAGGGCAUCAUCAAAUUCUAAUUUAUUCUCUCAAUACCAAAAUAGAAAGUUAAUACAUAUUUUAUGCCAUUUUAAAGUGGAAGGAUUGAAACAAGGUGUAUUCACUUUCCAUUUCAAUUAGAGCAACGUGAUUUGAGCCCUGCUUUCUUUUCACAAUUUAAUAAAUAGUUGUCUUAAUUAUGAAAGGACAGACGCAGAUAAAGUUGUCUACUUUCACCACAUCCAUUCAGCACUGUACUGGAAGUGUUAUCCAGGGUAACUAAACAAGAAAAAGAAAUAAAAGGCAUCCAGAUUAGAAAAAAAAGAAAAUUUAUAUAUGUAAUUGACAUCACCUUAUAUAUAGAAAAUCCUGACUGGGCGUGGUGGCUCAUGCCUAUAAUCCCAGCACUUUGGGAGGCCAAGGCGGGUGGAUCACCUGAGCUCAGGAGUUUAAGACCAGCCUGGGCAACAUGGUGAAACCC
rnacentral:lncRNA from 1 species